GUUGACUUAUAAUGUUAGAAAUGAAAGCGGAAGCUUUGCGCUGGUCUUAUUCCCGCCCUCCUCCGUGUGAACCGAGAGGGGAAUCCCGCCUCCUGUGAAGCCCUUGGCGUUUUUUGUUUUUUUUUUUAUUUGGCCAGUGGGAGUUUCUUCAAGUUGACUUCUGUGUCCCUUUGGUAUGCCGCCAUCACAGGACCUCGUCUCUUCUGCCUUUCCUUCCCUCCCUCCCGCUUCUGUACCACCUGGGGUACAGCCUACAUAACUGGCUCCUCAAUGCUUCAGGCACCAUCAGCUCUUCCUCCCACCCUAGAUGUUGAGGAACGAAGACCACCAACAUCAGAUUUCCCCACCAACGUUCCAGGCUCUACUUCCCUUCAGACAAGUCCUGAAAAUGACCCAGGUGGAAAGAAUACAGUCCAAGCUCACUGCAAGCUUCACUUCUCUUGGCCAUCACCUUCCAUCCAGUGGAGCAGAGGACACCAGAGAGCCUUGAUAAGCCUAUCUGUAGGAUGAUACCAACUUUGGUCUCGGGGCUCCCCCCCAAAAAGAAAGAAAACCAGGACUGACAGAUGGAGACAAAAAUGGCUGUUUGCUCAAAUAGACAACCAGUCUUUCCUUGUCUUAUGUGAUCUUGACACUUGAAGACUAUGGGUAAAAUAUUGUACAGAAUCGCCCCCGAUUUGGAUUUCUCUGCUCUUUUCUCAUGAUUACACAGAGGUUAUGGUGUUUUGAGGAAGAAUACAAAGAAAGUGAAAUGUCCUUCUCACUGCAUCAUAUCAGGGGGUACAUGACAGCAAUGUGUCACAUAACUGAUGAUGUUAACUCAUCUCUUGGUUAAGGUGGCGUCUGCCAGGUUUUUCCUUGGUUAAGUUACUUUUUUUCACUUUCCAUACUC